UUGGAUUCUUUGUAAUUGGAAGCUUUCCAUCAUAUGUGCUCUUCAGUACAUCUGGUUUCCUCACUAUCCGAGGUCCUACUGGAACCUUCCGAGUCUUUGGCCGAAUAUCCUGCAUUAACGUACAUACAAAAGCAAUUAACAUCUUUGUCUUCCUAUUUUUCAGUUGUUAACAAAUUAUUGAGUGACGAGGGUGAAGAACAGAGUAAACUUAAGAGGUUUCUACAGAAGCUUUUUUGUACUUAACCAAAGAACAGAGGAGCACAAAUUCAUACCUGAUCAAAGAUGGCUGUAGGUAUUGCUAGUGUAGCAACGGCAUUUGGAGAAUCAACUAUCCCAGAUAGUCUUCCUUCACAUGGACAACAUGAGAGCAAGAGGUACACCUGUUCACAUCAUAUUCUCUUGAUCACUUCUGUCUUUCUAGUUUUAAUUUAUGGAUAUUUGGUUUAUGAUCAACUAGAUUCUGGAAGAAACAUCAAGCUACAAAGACAAGUACCUGUUCUUUUGAGUAACCAAAUUUGAAGAGAUAGUCUAUGGCGUUGAGAACUGCCCGUUUGUAAGCAACUGUUGCAUCCAG
rnacentral:lncRNA from 1 species